rnacentral:sRNA from 1 species
ACCAGCCAGUCUACACACAUCUAGCAUCAUUAUCAGUAUAUCAACAUUGCUAAGAGCAAGAAUUAAAAAGAAUUACUCAUGAGUUUGCAGGAUUUCUCUGCAGAGACACAAGCCUCACAACAAUUUCAGACAUUUGAUCUCAAUGCAUAUCAAAAAUUGACAUCUUCAAAUCUAGAAACACAACAUUCACAUGAAAUCUGACUGUUGUGUGUCAUGUGAUUAGGGCUAAAUCUAGAGCAAUAUAACAAGUGAACAGCAAAUGGCACUAUACAGAAAUGAGCUAGUGGCACACAUGAUCACACUAAUAACACCACUGACAAGGAACACCAGCAAUAAUACACAAUUAUUAUUAUUAUUAUUCUUCAAUUAUAGAUGUAUACAGUCAGUGACUAUGACAUCUACCUGAAAUACUUCAGGAUUUUUCAAAUCAAGAAUAUUCUAAUAUACAAAAACAAUUUGACACAUGCAUUAACAGAAUUCCAGCCCAGAAUCAAACAACUAUUCAAACUAUUCAAUCCAAAAAUAAAAUCAAAAGAAUGUCAAUGAGUUAGCACAACUCAACUUCAAAACAAAGGAAAUAAAUAUUAUAAAAGACAGCAGCUAUUAAAAAUCAACAGAAA